ACACGUGGUAUCCUGUCUGAAUAUGGGGGGACCAUCCUCCAAGGCUAAAUACUCCUGACUGACCGAUAGUGAACCAGUACCGUGAGGGAAAGGCGAAAAGAACCCCGGCGAGGGGAGUGAAAAAGAACCUGAAACCGUGUACGUACAAGCAGUGGGAGCACCUUUAUGGUGUGACUGCGUACCUUUUGUAUAAUGGGUCAGCGACUUAUAUUCUGUAGCAAGGUUAACCGUAUAGGGGAGCCGCAGGGAAACCGAGUCUUAACUGG
rnacentral:rRNA from 1 species